UGUGAUCAUUUCAGUUUGUUGUACCAAACUAUUGAAUCCUCUAGUUUAAUUUUUUUUUAUUACGAAAAAUUGAAAACCUGUCCAAAUCUGGAGAGAACAAUAUAAUGAUUCCACAAGUACCUAACACUCAGCUUUAACACUUAUCAUCUCAUGUCUUCCUAUUCUUUGUUUUUGACUUUCUAUUUCAAAAUAACUUUAGACUUUCAGAAGUUUGCAAAAAAUAGUAGUAGUUUCUGUACGCCUGUCACCCAGCCACCUCGUGUUGACAUCUUACAUAACUGUGGUGCGGUUAGUGAGAGCAAGAAAUUAUCAUGACAUACUACUAUUAACUAAUCUUCAGAACUUAUUUGAGUGUGUUGGAAGGUCCCCAAGAUGAACUUCAGGUUCAGUGACUUGCCUGAAGUACUCACAGAACUCAGAAAAGCUGAUACACUCAUGAUCAUGGUUUUAUCACUGCGAAAGGAUACAGAUUAGAAUCAGCAAAGGAAAAGACAUAGAAGGUGGAGUCCAGGAGAGACCAGGCGCGACCUUCCAGUUGUCCGUCCUCUCCCAGUGGAGUUGUAUGGACAGCAUUUAAUUCUCCCUGUGUGGCAACAUGCACACUGUACCUAUAACCAGGGAAGCCCACCCCAGCCUUGGCGUCCAGGGUUAUAGGGCGUGAGUCAUAGAGCCCUGGGAUGCUGGUGUGGCUGACCUUAGUUACUCAGUCUCCAGCCGCUCCAGAAGCCACACUGAUACAGCAUGACCCGUGACCCCACGUACGUCACAUUGUUGGUGUAAACUGCCUGGCGUGGCCCAAGGGCCCAGGUGGACAGAGGUACUCUUUUCAGGCAGGAUAUUCUAAGAGUUUAGAGGUUAGCUCCCAGGAGCUAUCAAGGGCCAGUGCUUUCUUUGGAACGUGCAGGGUUUGAAAUCCUGCAGAGUUAGUCAUUCACUGCACAUUGAGCUUUGCCAGUUUUCCCACUAAUAUCUUUUUCCUGGUUCAGGAUCCAUUCCAGGAUCCCACACUGCAUUUAAUUGUCCUGUCUCCUCCAAUUGGUACGGUUCCUCAGUCUUUCUGUGUCUUUAUGACCUUGAUACUUUGAGGAGUACUGGUGAGGUGUUUUUUUUCAGAAUGUCCGUCAAUUUAGGUUGGGGUGUGAGAAGGUAUGGGCGACACCUCCCCCACAAAAGGGACUGGGAGAAGAGCAGAGUGUCUUGGGGUGGCCAGCCAUGAGGGAGGGGUGGAUGCCAGACAAGCUUAGGGACUAAGAGAAGUAAAUGAGUGGAAAUAGAGCUUGGAGGGGUCCGCAGUGACAGAUAUGACAGAAUGAAACUACCAAGGAAAGGGAAAACAAUAAUUAACUUUUACUGAGUGCUGGCCAUGUGCCUGUGCCUAACAAAUAUUUUAUAUUUGUUAAUUCAGCCCUCUUAACAGUCUGUAAGGCUGGUACUACUGGAACCUUCGUUUAACAGAUGAGAAACUCAGAGAUGUUAAGUAACUUUUCGAAGGUCACCCAUCUGGUGAGUGGCAGAGCCAGAUCCCCUACCCAACCCCCAAGUCUAAAGUCUGCCUGACUUUGUGGCCUGGGCUCUUAACAGCCAUGCUGUGCUACCUGUCACGAUAUCCUAACAAGGGGAGAGAGAGGUGGGGAGAGGGAACUUUCAUCCCUUGAAAUGUGCCAGGCCCUGGGCUAGGUGCUCUGUGUCUGUUCUCUCAUGUUCCAGGACCUACCAGGCAUAUAGUAGGUGCUUAAUGCGUGUUUCUCUCCUUCCUGCUCCUUCCCUGAGCUUCCUGGGCCAAGAGCAGGCACGUGGACUCCUGUGUCCCAUUUGGCCACUGGCUUCUCUCAAAGCCGUGAAUGUCCCUGGGGCCCACUCUGCCUUACCAGAUUGGCUUGGGCCGGGCCACCUGCUGGCAGAGAAGGAGGAAGGAGGAAAGUGGCUGGCCAUUUGGCCUCAGCAGGCUUGCAGAAUAUUUCCGGCAACAGAUGGGAAGGCUUGAAUGUGGGUGCUUUGCAAAACUUUCUCCUGAGCCUCCAUCAGCAAAUGCUGAUGUGCCAAUAUAAACGCGCAGGCUCCAGCCAGGUGGAUGUGAGUUCACAUCUCGCUUUUGCCACCUGCUGGCUGUGUGCUUUUGGGCAGUAGCUUUGCCUCUUUAAACCUCAGGUGCUCCAUCUGUAAAAUGGAGGUAAUGACAGUCCUGGGGGCUGAAACGAGAGAAUUCAUACAAAGUGUUUAGGCCAGUCCCUGGCACAGACACUAAAUGUUCAGUAAGAGCAGAUAUCAUUACCUAUGUCACGGAUGUGGAAACUGUCGUUCAGCAAGUUGCCCAGACUUGUGACAAGGAGCGAUCGGCAGAGGUGGGGCUUGAAUCCAGAUCCAGGCACAGAAUUAACUCUUUACAGGGAAAGCCUGGGACUGACCUUGCAGGGGGAAAUGAACAGUUUAGUUCAGGCACACAAAAGCGUGAGCUAGCUGCCUUGGUCCCAUGGGAAGCCCUUCCUUGGAGCGGGGAACCCCAGCUAGCUUAGCUGUUGCCAGGCAGCCCAGGAGAGCUGCCAGGGUCCCUCCCUGGGCAAUCCUGCUCAUCUCUCUUUGCAGGUCCUUUCUGGGAAGUGGAUGGGCACACUUAAUGAGAGGGCCAGAUUUGGAAAACAAGCCCAGCCCCGUGUCCUCUCUGGGCGAGUGCCAGCCGAUCAUCAACUCAAAUAACUGUGAUGGGCUGAGAUGAGGACAGCAACCGCUGGGAUGGAGGGGCGCUGUUCUCAUGAGGCCCAGCAAAAGGGGGCACUGUAAAACAAGGCCCUGGUGGGAGCAGCGUGGUUGGGUUUGAUGGGUCUUUGGGAGCAAUGGAACAUCAAAUGGUUUAGGCCACUGCUCAGCCGCAGGUACAGUUCUGCAAGGGGGCAGGCUGUGAUGGUAGAUUUUUUAAAUUAAUUAAUUUAUUUUUGGUUGCGUUGGGUCUUCGGUGCUGCAUGCUUUCUCUAGUUGUGGUGAGCAGGGGCUACUCUUCGCUGUGGCGCACGGGCUUCAGUAGUUGUGGCACACGGGCUCUGUAGUUGUGGCUUGUGGGCUCUAGAGCGCAGGCUCAGUAGUUGCGGCGCGUGGGCUUUGUUGCUCCGCGGCAUGUGCGAUCUUCCUGGACCAGGGCUUGAACCCGUGUCCCCUGCAUUGGCAGGCGGAUUCUUAACCACUGUGCCACCAGGGAAGUCCCCGUGAUGGUAGAUCUUAACCCGUUGGUUGGCCCCAGAGACUGGUUGGCUUUGGGGGUGGGGGUAUGAUAUUGGGGAUGGGGCCAUGUCUAUAGUGUGUAGAUAUUCCUCACCCCAGGACUCAUGUCAGUCUAUGAUGGCCUGCAUCUAUGUUUAUGUUAGCCAAAUCUCUCAAGUUCAGAUGGACAAAAGGAAGGUGAGAUAUGUUCCUGACUCUUGUGUCAAAAGGUUAGGAUGGCAUAGGGACCCCCUAGGAGCCCUUUCUAAGAGCACAGCCUGGCUCUGGUGGGAAAAAUGUAGGCUUUGCCGACAGAUGGCUCUGUGUGAAUCUCAUCUCUCCCCAGGAAUUGUUUUGUGACUUCUGGCAAGUCCUUUAGUUUACCCGAGCCUUGGUUUCUUCAUUUGCAAAAUGGGGAGGAUGAUACCAAAUUGUUAUGAGUGGUGACAUUGCUGGCUCUCCAUAAAUGCAGUGAUCAUUACUGAUACCCAUUCACAACUUUUUUGAACACCUACUAUGUGCAGAGUCCGUCCUGGCUGGGAGUGGUAAAGAUCAGCAGAGUCAGAAGGGGUCCCUCUUUUCAUGAGGCUUGGAAUUUGGAUAAUCUCAAGUGUGGUGAGGUUGGCUUGCAAAAGCUCCCUUGGAGCACACACUGCAGAACCAGGGAGGGAGUGUCCCUUCUCCUGAGUUCUUCUGUCUCUCUCCCAGGUUUUGUAUUUAGUGCUGGUUUGCCUUUGAAGAGGGUGUCUCCACCCCCAGACCAGGACUUGUGGUCUGCUGAGUGUGAGAGUGUGGCCUCAGUGAGAACAGGGCUUGUGGUCUGCUGAGUGUGAGAGUGUGGCCUCAGUGAGAACAGGGCUUGCUGCUGUCGGCUCCCAUUUAGGGCAGGGUCUGCCAUCAGAGCUACUGCUGCAGCCUUGUCCUUCUCCAGGGUCUCCAGGACUGGGUGAUGGCCUGACCGCUGCCUUCAGGGAUGAGCUAACUCUCUGGAUGCCUGGAACGUGGUGUGGAGGAGCCAUGCAGCUCCAAUACGAGUUCUGAAGGCACAAGUGCUAGUAGGGCCCAGGAAUACUGACAAAAGCCCAAGAGGCCAAAGGAAAGCUUCUGGACCAAAUGACACCUCUGGGCCAGGGUCGACAUUGUGGAGGAAGGAUUCAAGUGAGUGAUGGUGAUGAGAGGGGCUGAACCUGGGAAGAGGCUGGAUGUAUUGCAGAAAGAAGAAGAGGGAGAAGGGGCUUCUUAUUCACUCAUUCAUUCAACAAACAUUUAGUAAGCACCUGCUAUGUGCCCUAUGCCCCAAGUGGCCAAAUGCCUUUUCUCAAAACCUGAGUGGGAUGGGGCUGGGAUUCUUUUCCCUGGAGCCUAGAUGCCAGCAUGGCACAGGCUAGGCCACUUGCUGGCAGGGAAGGAGGAAGGAGGAAGGCCAUUUAGGAUUCAGCCGUAAACAAGACAGACAAAAAUCUCUGCCCUCAUAGAGCUGACAUUAUCGUUAGGAGAGACACACAAGAUAAAUAAGUAAAAUAUAUGUUAGACGGUGAUAAGUGGUAGGGAGGAAAAAUAAGGCAGGGAAAGAAGGGAUAGGAAGAGUGUAGGUGAUGCUGAGAUUUUAGGAGGGGCGACCAAGGGGACCUGGUUUAGAAAGAGCAUGAAAAAGACCUGAAGAAAGCGAGGGAGUGAACUGUGCGGCUCUGUGAGGGAAGAACACUCCCGGCCAGGAAAUAGCAGGUGAAAAGGCUGGGGGGCGGGGGGCACAUGCCUGGUGGGUGUGAGGCUGGGCUGGCUGGAGCUGCGUGAGGAAGAGGAGAGCAGUGGGAAGUAGGGCCGAGGUUAAGAGAGCUGGACGUAUAGGACCUUCUCGGUCACAGGAACGACUCUAUUGGGAGCCAGACGAGUGACAGAUCUGCCUUAGAUGUUAACAGGAUUUUUAACAUCUUAACAUUUUGACUGCUCUGUUGAGAAUAGGCUGUAGGGGGCAGGGGCAGAAGCAGGGAGAACAGUAGGAGGAGGCCACUGCAAUAAUCCCGAUGUUUUAUUUCUCACUGUGCCCCCAGCACGUGGCAUGUUUCCUGGCACAGAGCAGACACUCAACAAAUGCUUACUGAAUGACGUGUGAAUUAGCGAUGCCCAAAUACUGGUUCUCAGACUGGUGCCGUGUAGGCUAUAUGGAAAAAGUGUAGACAAACAGAUACCAGGCACUGUUGCUGGGGAUCCUGAUCCAGUAGGUUUCUGAUGGCAAAGAGGAAUUUGGCUUUUCAGUACAGUCUGCAGGUAAUUCUGGGCAGCAGGGUUGGCCUUCUGUGUCAGCUAGGAAUGCUUUUGGCUGCAGGGAACAGAGAACAACCAGCAAUGGCUUAAACAAGAGGGUUUUAUUUUUAUUUACAAGAAUUCUGGAGGAGGAUGGCUGCUGGCAUUGGCUUGGUCAGGUGAUGACAGGUCAAUGUUUCUAAAAUUCUCUUGGCCAUUUUCUCAUUGUAGCAAGAUGGCUGCUGUGGCUCCAGGCAUCCCAUCAUCAAGGUAGGAAGAAGGGAGGAGCAGGGAGUUGUUACCCAGUCUGUCUCUUUUAUCAGAAAAACAUAAGCUUUCCUAGGAGCCCCUGCAGACUUUGUCUUAAAUUUCACUGGCCAUACCUGGUCACAUGGUCACCCCAAGCUGUAAAGGAGGCUGUAACAGUGAGACUCUGUAUUUACAGCCUCUACAAUGGGAGAUGGCUGGAGAGAAGGAGUUGGGGCUGACCACUGGGGAGUGAUCAAGGGUGUCUGCCAUGGCUCCAUGGACGACAUGGUACUUGAGUUUCCUUCUACUUCUGGGGCUUUGUCUCCAUGAUUUGCCACCUCUGUGGAGCACCUAUGGGGCCCCACAGAGUGAAAUCCCAAGCAUUCCCUUGGAGGGGCCUACUUCAUCCUAGAUACUCAGUCUUGCUUUUCCUUUCUGAACAACACACAGGGGACAGCUGCUUUGGGGAAGGGGUGGUCUUUAUUUAGGGACUGUGCAUUUUUAGCAUUCUCUCACCUGGCAGACAUUUAAAACAGUAUUACCAUCUUCUCACUAAGACUGUCACAUUUGAGAGACUUUUAGAGCCGCCGCCCCCCCACAGGAAAAGGAUGAUGUCUUUAGUCCCUCUCCAGCCACCCAGUUAGGCCUAAGACCAGGAUGAUCCCUUUCCUCCCACCUUUGGUCCAAGUAUCAAAGGGCAUCCCAGCGGUAGCUCUUUCUGGUAGCUCUGUGCCAGUCUUGGGGUGUGAAAGGAAAUGCUUUUCUGGCACUGCCCUGCUACCUUGAAUGAUGGGUUUACAAAGCCAGAGGCAGGGACUUCAGGGGAAAAAGAAA